UUUUAAUUGAUUGCUUGGGUCAACUCCCACAUUGUUGUUUAGUUGCUGUAAUAUUUAGAUAUGAAGCUAAAAUGUUGAGCAUCUCAGCCAUUGGUGGGGAUUUGACCAGCAUCCACUCCCCAAUUGUUGUUCACCCAUCAUACAGUAUAUUGAUCCAAAGAACUUGCUUUGCUUUGAGUUUUUAUGUCAUCCAUUUCUGAAGUGAUGCUAGGCUGCUUCACACAGAUGCACCUUACUCAGCCACAUGAUGAACAUGUUUUAAGCUAACUGUAGUCAAUUUCAAAAGCGUCUGCUCCCACAUGUUAUUAUAUAGAAUCCCAAAUGUGACUCAUCCAUUCAUUGUUUCCUCUGUAUUUUAUUUUGUUUUAUUUCAGUUACAGAGAUAUGUGCCCUCAAUAGGUGGUUGAGGUACACUAGCUGGAUGAAAAUUUAAAUAUAUGUAGCACCCAUUUAUUUCAUCCUCGUACCUUUUUACAAAUUCUCUUGUUGAGUAAUGAGCAACAAGAACUCUCUUGAUCAUCUGUUUCUCUAAUUUUUUUUUUAUGAAAAAAAAUGGCUGCUUUAUUUCCAUUUCAUGCUUUUCUAUAUUUUUCUUUAAAUAUGCAACCAUGGUUCCAGUUUUAAUAAAUCUGACGUUCAUUAUGCAGCAUAGGUUUAGUGCACCGCAAGGGAUAAUGGACUGGCACGCAGCCCCAGGAAGUCCAAGUUCCUACAUUGUGAAGAGGAUAUUGCGCUUGGAGAUACCGGUGGACAGCUAUCCAAAUUUCAAUUUUGUUGGGCGGCUUCUAGGUCCUCGGGGCAAUUCCUUAAAACGUGUGGAAGCUUCAACAGGUUGCAGAGUAUUCAUUAGAGGAAAA